rnacentral:tRNA from 1 species
GCCUGGGUGGCUUAGUUGGUAGAGCCUGCGACUCUUGAUCUUGGGUCGUGAGUUCAAGCCCCACAUUGGGCA